AUGUCCCGAAAGCAGGCGGUGAAGAGUCGGCCGGGCAGCGGCCGGAAGGCCGAGGCGGAGCGGAAGCGGGACGAGCGCGCGGCUCGGAGAGCCCUGGCCAAGGAGCGGCGGAACCGGACAGAGACCGGCGCCGGCGGCGAGGAGGAGUUCGUCAGUUUCGCCAACCAGCUGCAGGCCCUGGGGCUCAAGCUGCGCGAGGUGCCGGGCGACGGCAAUUGUCUAUUCCGAGCUCUUGGUGAUCAAUUAGAGGGACAUUCACGAAAUCAUCUCAAACACAGACAGGAGACUGUUGACUAUAUGAUAAGACAGCGGGAUGAUUUUGAACCUUUUGUGGAGGAUGAUAUUCCCUUUGAGAAACACGUUGCCAGUUUGGCAAAACCUGGUACUUUUGCUGGAAAUGAUGCAAUUGUAGCCUUUGCAAGAAAUCAUCAAAUGAAUGUUGUUAUUCAUCAGCUUAAUGCCCCUUUGUGGCAGAUUCGUGGUACGGAUAAAGCCAACGUCAGGGAGCUGCACAUUGCAUAUCGCUAUGGUGAACACUAUGACAGCGUUCGGAGAAUCAAUGAUAAUUCAGAAGCGCCUGCCCAUCUUCAGACAGACUUUCAGAUGCUUAAUAAAGAUGAAUCAAAUAAGAGAGAGAAGAUUAAGUCAAAGGAGGAUGACUUUGAAGAUGACUUGAAAGAUGAAGUAGAAGAUGCUGUGCAGAAAGUUUGUAAUGCAACUGGAUGUUCAGAUGUUAAUUUAAUAGUCCAGAACUUGGAAGCUGAGAAUUAUAACAUUGAAUCUGCAAUACUUGCGAUGGUACAGAUGAAUCAGGGGAAAAGAAACCCACAAUACCUUUCUUUGGAUGAGGCAGAGGAGAAACCAGAGAUCUAUGGCAGAGCUCAGAAACAGCGUGGCUCCAUAUGGGAGGAGGGCGGCAGUGGUAAUAGAAUCUUUGGAAGUCAAGGCUUAAGUGAAAGUGGAAAUGAAAACAAUAAAACACAAAGCAGUCCUGUUGGAGAAAACAAAACAAGUAAAAGCCAGCCCCUCAAGGUAACAAAUAAACAAAAGAGAGAGCAGCAGCGCCUGGAGAAGAAGAAGCGCCAGGAGGAGCGACACCGCCAGAGAGCCCAGGAGAACAGGAGUAACAACCCCGAUAACAAUCGCAGCGAGGCAGAUGCUAAUGCACAGGUCACCUUGGUGAAGACCUUUGCUGCUCUCAACAUUUGACUGCUCUUGGUGUCUUCUAAAGCGAUAAGCUGAUGGAAAAUGGAUUGCUGAAUAGGAAAUAGACUAAGCUUUCUGAUAAGGCCAUCAUUUAAAAAAAAAAGAAAGGAAAAUGCUUACAAAACAUAUUCAAAAAUAUUAGUUUGUCCCUAGCUCUUUUUAAUUUAGCUUUUCAUUAGUGAUGUGUUCUUUUUUGUUGUUGUUUUGACCACACGUGCAGUAAAAAAUCACCUUCUGUAAAACUCAAGAAUUUAGGAAUGGUUAAUUAGGUCAGUGGAACAUUUUAAGUGUAGCUCUGCUCUUCCUGACAAUGAGUUCAGUGGUUAUGGACUCUUUCCUUAAUGUUUGGGGUGAGUUUUGCUGUAUUGUUCAUGAAUUAAUUCAGGUUAGUAGUUUCAAAUUUAGAAUGAUAAGCCUUUUUUCUUUCCCUGGUUUAUAUGCAGACAUUAAUAUACAGGGUAGUUUGCAAAUGAUCUCCAACUCAGGAACAAGUUUAGAUUUCUUUUAUUUUCUUCUGAUCCUAAUUGUAUAGAAAAAAUUCAGGAACUGUUUUUCCAAAGCUGUAUAAUGUAGGGGCAGAUGGGGCCUAUAGUAAGGGUGAAAAUCGAGUAAUUUAGAUUUCUCCCCCUCUUGGAUUUUGAGUUUCAACCUGGACCAGGUGCUUUUCAUGUCUAGUUGUACUCAAGCCAUAUGCUCGCUAAUGCUUCUGACUGUUAAAGAGGGAAGAAAGAAAAAGUAGAAUUGAAGAUUUCUUGAUAACCAUUUCUUUGAAAUGGAAAAGAUUGCCUUAUUGUUUACAAAACAUUUCUGGAACUUUGGACAUGACUGGAACAGGAUUUUCUUCUCUUUCAUAGCAAUGAAAGGGGAGGUCAAGGAAUUUCCUGACCCAGUGUCUGAGAAGAACCUGCCUUCAAAGGGAUUCUUUAUGUGUAGGACUGUUUUUGUAAAGGGAGAACCAUAUAUGUUAGGAAGAAUGAUUUUUGUUUUUGUCUUUUUCCCCCAAGUUGACAUUUUAAACAUCUCAGAUUUCUUCCCCUCUAUUUUAGAUUUGGAAAGUUGCUAUCAGAGAUGUCAAGGGAACUUAACUGUGUUGAUCCAUGAAUUAAAAUUUCUUUAGUGUCAUGGAAAUCAAAUUCCUUGUAAUAAUGAACUUAUUUCUCAUUCUUGGGAUUUUGAUAGUACAAAGAGCUCAUUGCAUUGUCAUUGUGGAUCACGGGUCGGAACAGGUAUCUUGGCUAAAGGUCCUUAAACUAUAAGUCUAAUUCUGAAAUUGCAUAGCAAGGCUUGAGCAAUUUCAGCAUGUUUUCUCAGGAUUCUUAGCUUGUGUGAAGGAAAACUUUUCUAUCUGGGAAUAUCUGUGUAUAUGGUGUCUAAUCUUCAAAUUUUGACUGAUUUGUGUGAAAACAGUACUUAAUGAGUCAUACGUUGUAUUAUGAGCUGAUUUCCCAUUUAAAAAAAAAAGUUACCCCAGUUGUAAAGAUUCCCAGAAGGGAGACCUAUAAAAGCAAUAUUUGAAUUGUAUAGAUACUGUUGUCUGGGCUGGCCCUGGAUUCAUGGAAUUAUCUUUUUAGCAGCAGCAUUUAUACUUUCUUUGGUUUGAAUGAUGUGUUUUGAUUUUUUUUCUCUCCAUUUUGAUGACCUUUUGGUUGAAACAUUAACAUUUUCCCGUGAUUGUUCCCAGGACAUUGUGGUUUGGUCGUUUUCCAGAGUGCAGAUUGUAAUAUUUAUCAGGUUUCUUAAACAGCUAGGUGGAGACAGACCACGCAUACUGGUCAAUAGCUUUUUUCUUUCUGCAUAUUGUAGAAUCCCAAGAUUCCUUUUAUCUUUGAGAGCUAGCUUUGAGUGUUCCCGAACACUUUUAUAAACAUAAUUUAAGGUUGGUUACUCUGUUGGUGUUCAUCUCUGGGCACAUUCCUAAUUGGGACCAAGCUUUUUCUGAAUGAGAUGUCUUUCUGUUCUGUUGGGUUUGUACUCCUAUGUGACAGCUGACAGAGGAGAGUGGGCCCCAUCAGACAGAACAGGAAGAGUGACGUGAACGUGAAAUUCAGCAGAAUUUUUAAUCAGAGGUAACUGAAGGGACCCAUUGUAGGAAAUAUUAGAGGAAACUACCUCUUUGCUUCAUUGGUCACUGUUAGUGGUCAAGAGGAGCAUAUCUAUAUCUAGGAAUUUGGGAGGCACUAUAAAGAUUAAAGGACAUUUAUUUUGUCAUAUCUUGUUGUUUCUGGGAUUGGGUAAUUUAUAAUCCAUAAAAUUUCUGGGAUUAAAUGACAGUGGCUCUAAUCAUCAACUAGCUGCUUCAGUGAUUUGUUUUAUUGUUUUCUCUCACUUCUUCAGUUGUAAAUUGGUACUGUUUAAGUGCUAAUUUUUAGGAAUUGGGAAUAUGGAUUUUUAUCUUAGUAGGCAUCUUUUAGCUCAAGAUUUGAUUUAAGAAUUUAUUGCCUCAGUUUCCCAUAAAGCAGGAUAAAUGGAAUCUAUGUAUGCCCCUUGAUAGGGCCUUGACAUUAGUAUGCAGCCACAAUUUGGAAAGCUGUAUAUUUUGAAUAUCUGCUAAGACAACUUAUUGGUGGCUGCCAGCCUAGCCAGGGUCACCCAUUUGAAUCAUGAUUAGGGAUUGAAUCUAUGCUUAACUUUCAUGUCAUUGGGAGCUAUUUAGUGUUCAGUGAAAUUAUCCCUGAAUGCUCUUACUGCAGAGAAAAGAAGGGAGCACUGAGAAGCUCUGUGGUAGUUUAGUUAGUAGCACUGCAUUUAUAAAAGUUUUAAAAGAAUUUUUCAUAUUAGGGUGGGAAGGGAAAAAAACCUCAUUGGUAGCAGCUGAACCAGAGAGAAAUGAAUGGGUCAGAGCAAUUAUAUUUAGUACUCCUAGAAGCUACCAGAAUGGAUUGUGGAAUUAGAUUUUCUGUGUGUGUGUGUGUGUGUGUGUGUGUGUGUGUGUGUGUGUGUAUGUGUUUAAGAAGCAUAAUACUCUUUUGACACAUUGAAUCUAUGCUUUCAGGUAUGAUCUCUGGGUGUGGAAGUUGUGGCAAAAAGAAAACUCAUAACUGCUAGUUGAGGACCAUCUAGAGUUUCUUCCAUAAGCACAGAAAACAUGUCCAUAGCUCUCUUGGCAUCAAGGGUUUGCACUGUGUGACCUCUCCUAUGGAGCAACUAGACCUGGGCUCAGGAGAAGCCGGAAUAUAUGCAGACACAAAGGAAACAGUUCUGGUGAGGAAAAAUGAGAUUUAUCUGAAGAGACUGAUGACAUACAGAGAACUCAGCAACCAACUUGCAUUGAAAAAAAAAGGGAACAAAAUUUGGAAGCAAGAAAAAAAAAUGGAGAAUGAAUUCAAAUACAUGCUAUCUUCUUUCAAGAAGAAUGUCAGAAGAUGAGGGUGUUAAUGUUGAAGGGGUUGUGGGACAGGCACACUUACAGACUGUUGGUGGGACUGUGAAUUGGUUCCGCCAUUUUGAAAAGCAGUUUGGAAUUAUGCUAUGAAAAUGACUGGCAUGCCCAUACCUUUUGACCCUACCAGAGACCCUACUGCUAAACAUCUGUUUUAAGGAGGUCCAAGAUGGAAGGAAAGGUCCAGUAUACAUAUAAUAAUAUUUUAGAAUAUUUAUAGCAAUUUUUUUUGUAAUAGCAAAAAACUAUAAAUAAAGUAUAUGUUAGUUGAUCGGGAAUGGUUAAAACAAAUUGUGAUAUGUGAAUGUAAUGGAAUAUCUUACUUUGUCAUAAGAAAAUUAAUGUGAAGAAUUCAGAGAAGCAUGGGAAAAUUUCUUCGAACUGAUUGAUGCAAAGUGAAGUAAGGAGAACCAAGAAAACAAUACACCUAAUGAUUAAAACCAUGUAAAUGCAAAGAACAAAAACCUCUAACUGAACGCUGUAAUUCAGCCCCAGGGAAGGGGGAAGAAAAUGUACCUCUUCCUCUCUUCCUUCUUCUUGGAGGUGGGAAAUCUUCAAUGCACUACCUUGAUGUGUUGAGUAGUUUUGCUGAAAUUGCUUUUUUCACUUUUUGUUUCCAGGGCUGGCUUUGGGAGUACGGGAGAGAGAUAUUUGGAAGUAAAGGUGAUGUAAAAACAAAAGAUGUAAAUAAAUAAAAAUCUUUUAAAAUGAACAACA